rnacentral:rRNA from 1 species
GACGAACGCUGGCGGCGUGCCUAAUACAUGCAAGUAGAACGCUGAAGGAGGAGCUUGCUCUUCUGGAUGAGUUGCGAACGGGUGAGUAACGCGUAGGUAACCUGCCUGGUAGCGGGGGAUAACUAUUGGAAACGAUAGCUAAUACCGCAUAACAGUAGAUGUUGCAUGACAUUUGCUUAAAAGGUGCAAUUGCAUCACUACCAGAUGGACCUGCGUUGUAUUAGCUAGUUGGUGGGGUAACGGCUCACCAAGGCGACGAUACAUAGCCGACCUGAGAGGGGGGUCGGCCAGACUGGGACUGAGACACGGCCCAGACUCCUACGGGAGGCAGCAGGAGGGAAUCUUCGGCAAUGGACGGAAGUCUGACCGAGCAACGCCGCGUGAGUGAAGAAGGGUGUCGGAUCGUAAAGCUCUGUUGUAAGAGAAGAACGAGUGUGAGAGUGGAAAGUUCACACUGUGACGGUAUCUUACCAGAAAGGGACGGCUAACUACGUG